rnacentral:rRNA from 1 species
UCGGGAAUUUUGGGCAAUGGGCGAAAGCCUGACCCAGCAACGCCGCGUGAGUGAUGAAGGCCUUAGGGUUGUAAAGCUCUUUUACCAGGGAUGAUAAUGACAGUACCUGGAGAAUAAGCUCCGGCUAACUCCGUGCCAGCAGCCGCGGUAAUACGGAGGGAGCUAGCGUUGUUCGGAAUUACUGGGCGUAAAGCGUACGUAGGCGGUGACUCAAGUCAGAGGUGAAAGCCUGGAGCUCAACUCCAGAACUGCCUUUGAAACUAGGUCGCUAGAAUCACGGAGAGGUGAGUGGAAUUCCGAGUGUAGAGGUGAAAUUCGUAGAUAUUCGGAAGAACACCAGUGGCGAAGGCGGCUCACUGGACGUGUAUUGACGCUGAGGUACGAAAGCGUGGGGAGCAAACAGGAUUAGAUACCCCCGUAGUCCCUGAGCGGGCUGGCAAGGCGCAU